UCCUCCUGGUUAUUAAUAUCCCAGUCUACUUCACUUUGUUUUGUGUGGCGGGUGUUGAUGGGAAAAAGUUUAUGCUAGAACGCUAUGAAUCUUGAAGGGAAUAGGGGAUUUUUGUGUGAUGUGUUAAUGAAGAAGAAGAAAAGAAAAAGGUUUUGCGAGGAUAUUGUUAGUCUUGAAGGGAAUAUGAGACAUGAACAGAUGUGAGAUAUACCCUUGUUAUCUCUUCUGGUUGGCUGCUUUGUGUUCGGUGUUCUCUAAUAUGCUAAAGUGUUUCCAAUAUGUCACUGAUCUUUGAAUUAGCUUUCUUCUUGUCUUUUUUAUUCUGGUUUCUAACUCUAUUUAUACUGCUUGGAAUCCUCUCCACAUUGGUAGACGGAUGAAUUGAAGCUGCUUGAUUUGGAGUCUUAUGAGCUUUUAAAUCCGGAUUUAUUUCUUUUGUACUUUGUAUCAUGACUGACUAAAUGCCAUUUUUAGAUAAUUGUAAUUAUGAGUAUUGUAACACUGGAU